GGGUAUGGCCUUACCACUCUGAAUGCACCUGAUCUCCUCUGAUUGCUGAAGCUUACAGGUUGGGCCUGGUUAGUAUUUGCAUGGGAAACCACUUGGGAAUUCCAGGUGCUGUAGCCU
rnacentral:rRNA from 1 species